AAAUGUGAUUAACCAUGGAGAGCCUUCAGCUUGCAAAUUUCUUCUCAACCACCACUCCAUCAAAGAAAUGUCAGGUAAAAUUUAAUACACAAAUAUUACGAAUGUCAUAAUUAUUAAAAAUUUAAUAUAAUUAUGUGUGUACGAAAUUGAAAUAGUUUUAAUUUAGAAUGACUUAAGUUUGGACAAUUUAAAAUAGUUUUAAUUUAGAAUAAAUUGAUUAAAUUAUAAAAGAAUUACUGAAAUAAGUGUGAUUUAACAAUCUUAAAUAAUAAGAAGAGUAAUAUAAAAAGAAAAAUAUUUAUAAACUUAGUUUUCAAAAUUUUGUUUAAAAGUAGUGUUUUGAUCUUUUAUAAAAAUUUAAUAUGAUUGGUCUUUUGCUUAGAACUAUAUGGUGCAUAGGAGAUAUCUCUGAAGUAUUUUGAGAUUUUUUUUAAGAUACCUCAGGGAGAUCUAAGGCACAUAAGAACUAGAUUUGCAUGAUUGAGUUUUAUUAUCAAUCACAAUAUCAAAUCAAAUACAAAUAUUAGGACAAGACCUGAAUCACUUACCACUAGACUUCCAUCUUCAAAAACAGAAGUGUAGUUGGUGCUUAUAGCAGAUUAUCAUCAUAGGCAACAAAUUAGCAUAGAAACUAGAUAUUUGGUUCCAUUCCAUUUACAAUAAUUUUUUACUUUGCCUGCAUAUAAAAGCAGCUCAGUGGUUCCACAACUAUAUGAGCAACAUCAACAACUCGAGUUCGUCUAACCGCAAAGGACAAUCUUUAAGGAUUUAUGCAACCUAAAAAGAACAAAGUGUAGACCUUAACUGAAAGGUCCUAGCAAAAUCAAAAAGCAAUAGAAAAAUGGGAACACUUUUCUCAUUGCAUACGUAAGAUACAAAGAUUAAUUUUUAAAUUCGAAAUAUAAAUAUAAUGCUUAAAGAAAGUCGCAUUUGUUUUCAACUUGUUCACUAUAUUUUCCUCUGAGAUUUAAAUUAUUCUUAGAAAAAAUACAAAAACACCAAACCUAGUAUUAUAGACGUAAAAGGAAAAGUAUAUUUACAAAUUUACCUUGAUAGAAAUUAUUAUUAUUAUUAUUAUUAUUAUUAUUAUUAUUAUUAUUAUUAUCUGUAAUGUAUUUGUUCCAGAUCAUAGAAUGAAUAAUAAUAAUAGUCAUGGAAUAUAAAAUGGAAGAACUUAAAAUAUUCAUAAGAAAUAUUGUGUUGGAAUACUGAAAGAAGAUUGCAAAAGACUUACACAAACCAUGGGAGACAGUUGCUCAAGAAGAAAACAGUUUAUUUCAUAGACAAAACUUUUAUACAAGUUUCUUAGUGAACUCUCUACUCAACUCUGUCUUUCUUAUCUGGAAGAGCUUCUUGAUAUAGGCACACUACAUUACUUACGACAACUAGAUUUACAUUAUUGUUCAGAAAAGUCUACAUUAUUAUUCAGAUUCCAAAUUAUUGUUAUCUUGGAAAAUCUUCUUUUUGUUGUUAUGUGGAAAAAUCUUCUGCCUCUUGCCACGGUUGCCAAAUGCUCCAACUACUGUUCUUUGAUACUUUUUACUUUGUAUUGAUGUCAGAAAAUGUAUUGACACAUUACGGUUAAUGAUUCUUCAAUAAUACAUGUCUUCAUUGCAGAGAUAAGGAUUGGAUUGUGAUGAUUCAUUAUCAGUACUGACUUUGUCUGAGCCUUUUGAAGAAGUAUCUUUUUGAAGAGCUCUUUCAAACUCUUCUUUGGAGGUUGUUGAUGCUAAGGAUGCUAUUAAUUGUUGUUUCUCUACUAAGAAGAAUGCAUCUUGUUUGAGUGCAGGGCUAUCUUUGCUUCUUGAAUUAUGCUUUAUCCAUUCUUUAAUCCUGUUCUUGUACACUAAUUUAUUAUUGAACUUCUUCCACCAUUUUAUCUUUAUCUUUCUUGAUAACAUCCUGAUUUUGACUCCUUCAUAUGGUUGUACCAUAGUAUAAUCUCAAGCUACUAUCCAAGUAUUAGCUUGAGAGGCUUAUGAAAGAUAUAAGCCUAUAUCCCAGUACAAAUGUAGAAUUUUUGUCAACAAUACGUAUACACUUCAUUUAUUUUUGUUGGAAAUAUUGAAUGUAAUGGUCCAAAGUUGACAAACCAUUUUAUGAAUUCGAACCAUCUUGGAAAUUUUAAAGAUACUCCUUUUUUG
rnacentral:lncRNA from 1 species